CACGAACAGGGAUGUAAACAAAUUUGUGCACAUCAUUUGAGGUAAAUAACCUUUCAAGGAUCUUUAAUUUCAGCUCAUGAAACAUGGGACCAACACUUUACAUGUUGCAUUUAGAUUUCUUUCAGUAUAGAUAACCACCGACUGUAGUUACGUGUACAAUGCACAUUACCUUCCUUACAAGUAAAAAACGAGCAUAUAAUAGCAUAAUGAAUGUUGUGACCUCUUAAUUGAAAAUGUUUCUUUAUAAACAUCACAUGCCACAGAUUUAGGACCUGAAUGUAGAAAUCUUGGUCUGCUGGCCAGUGCCCAAAAUCCUUAUGUUAUAUCCCUGCAUGUCAGUACCUUUCAGACAAUCCCCCUAUCACUGUUGGUCCUCCUCAGUGACCUUAUGGCUGAAGGUUUUAACUUUCCUCUUGAGAAUUAGAAUCAGAAGUAGUUGUAUAGCUCAUUACAAUACUUCACCUCUUCUGGCAAAUAGUAACCUAGACUGUCCUGAUCAUCUAGUUGAGCAUUCCAGAUAAUUCCUUCAUCUCAGCAGAAAUGUCCCAUCCACAUAUUAGGAUUUUAGAUGUGCAGAUAGACCAAAGCCCAGUCUAUUUUACUGUUACUAUAGUCAAGUCUGUGGGUUAUGGUAUUUUAAUGUAGAUGUUAUCAUUUCAGUAAUCAAUUUAGCUAGCUGGUAAAAGUAACUUUUGCUGUCUUUCAGAUGGAUGGACCGGAAACCCAGUGACAACACUUGGGUCUGUAGCUGCCAUUUUCCGAUGGGAAAGAGAAAAGGCUCUGUAUUUACCAGAAAAGGUAGCUCAUCCACCAUGGCAGAAGAUGAAGAUCCAGACUGUUGAUUGGGGAACAAGAACAAACAAUAAGGCAUGAGGAUUGGGUGUUGAGUAUGAGAAACAAUUUGUUUUCUGUCCAGAUAAAGAUGGUGAUACAGCAUUGCAAAAUACCUACCACUGACCAUGUCUCUUUGUUUUCCAGUGCAACAGGAGUGCAUCCGUCAGUCCAUCCAGUGCAUGGACAUCCCGCGCCAGUGUCAUCCGGUUGUGGAGACUACAGCAGAACAAGCCUGUAGACCGACAGACAUGAGACGUGACAUGCGGAACAUCAGGCUCGCCCCACGAGAAGCAGUGCAUGAUCAACGCCACCCUCAGCAAGGAGAUCUGCUGGAAGUUAUGUACUCUCUCACUCUGGGGGUAAGACAUCAUUUAAACAUCACAGAUAUAAAUUCCCACUGUGCCCAUGAUGAAAUGCAACUGUGAAUUGUGCUGCACUACUGAAUGAAACAGGAAAUGCACUCAGACCAGCCUUUGUGAUUGAACUUCUGUUAACUACGUUACUUUAGUUGGCUGCUUUGAGCAAAGCUUGUACAGUGCAUUCGGAAAGUAUUCAGACCCCUUCACUUUUUGUUACGUUACAGCCAUAUUCUAAAAUGGAUGAAAGUUUUUUUCCCCCUCUAUCUACACACAAUAGCCCAUAAUGACAAAGCAAAAACAGGUUUGUAUAACAUUUUGAAAUAUCACAUUUACAUA
rnacentral:lncRNA from 1 species